CCGGGCUUUCCCUCGCCAUAGCCCAACUCUAUAUAUAAUCUUCGUCUCACUCCGCGCUAGGGCAAAAGCGAAAAAAUAAGUAGUGGUACUUCAGCGUUAGGUAUGUGGCGCUGCGUCUCCAAAAUCGUCAAAUGGCGCCAAGUUCAGGUUAACUCUGCAACUUUUUCACUCAAAACACACAGAAGCAGUGGUGGUUUAGAUUUGAGAAUCAAUGAAAUCGGUGGUGCCGCAGUGAAGAAGUACGCCACUUCAUGUGAAACAUUUCCUGUAGAUACUCCAGAUAGGGAUUGUUCUGAUGUGUUGAUCGAUUCAUUCGGGAGGCGGCAUACGUAUUUGAGGAUAUCACUAACAGAACGAUGCAAUCUGCGAUGCCAGUACUGUAUGCCUGCUGAAGGUGUAGAACUAACUCCCAACCCCAACCUUCUCUCACAGGAUGAGAUUAUUCGUGUGGCAAACCUCUUUGUCAGUUCUGGGGUUACAAAAAUUCGACUGACUGGUGGGGAGCCGACUGUUAGAAAGGAUAUUGACCAAAUCUGCUCAAGGCUUUCCAAGUUAGAUGGGUUAAAGAGUCUGGCUAUAACCACCAAUGGAAUUAUUCUGGCGAAUAAGCUUCCGAGGUUGAAAGAAUGUGGACUUAGUUUGUUGAACAUUAGUUUAGACACAUUGGUUCCGGCGAAGUUUGAAUUUAUGACUAGACGGAAGGGGCAUGAAAGAGUGCUAAAAUCAAUAGAUGCUGCCAUAGAGUUGGGAUAUAGUCCUGUCAAAGUGAACUGUGUUGUAAUGCGCGGAUUCAAUGAUGAUGAAAUCUGUGAUUUUGUUGAGAUGACACGUGAGAAGCCUAUCAACGUGCGGUUUAUUGAGUUCAUGCCUUUCGAUGGAAAUGUGUGGAAUGAAAAGAAAUUGGUAUCCUUCGCUGAAAUGAUGGAUAUUGUGGAUAAAAGGUAUACAGGACUUAGAAGGAUCAAGGAUCACCACACUGAGACAGCCAAGAACUUUAGCAUAGACGGACAUCAGGGUACCGUUUCUUUCAUCACAUCGAUGACACAGCAUUUUUGUGCUGGUUGUAAUAGAUUGAGACUUUUGGCAGACGGAAACUUUAAAGUUUGUCUGUUUGGUCCUUCAGAGGUUAGCUUGAGGGAUCCUCUACGUUCUGGUGCUGAUGACAAUGAACUAAAGGAAAUCAUUGGAGCAGCAAUCAAAAGAAAGAAAGCGGCUCAUGCUGGGAUGUUUGACCUUGCCAAGACUCCAAACAGACCAAUGAUACACAUUGGUGGCUAGAGCUUAUAAGCCCGGUUAGUUGCUGCACGAGCUCCCGGAAAUUCUGGACAUCGGUCUUGAUGAUUUCUGGAGCAAUGAUGUGAAUUAUACGUAUCUUUGGUUUUUGUUUGACAAUCGUAUGAGAACUGUUGUGAAUCACCAGCUUGGAUGGAGCUAUGGCUGUGUCACCAGAUCGAGCUUUCAUAUUUAUCUGCAGUGACUGACGAAAUCCUCUGAUUAUAGUUGGGAAAUUUUGGUUAUAUUGGCUGAUGAGAUCUUUCUAUAUAUUUAUACCGUAGAAGUAACAAUAAAAAGUCGCCGUUUGGAGGCAACAACGAGGUGGGUUGCUUCUAUCUCUGUAAAACUUGACUUUAAAGAACACAACUUGAGAGGCAUACAUGGAUUUAAAAAAUCCAUACCUGUCAAGAUCCCUUGUGGUUUACUUGCAGGAAUUGAAUACAGAAGUCAACCGUUAUCGCGAUGCUCAUUCGUCGGUAGAUGCAAGUUGGGAAUGAAGGGCUCUCAUCCAUCAUUCAUCAGGCUGUCAUCCAACUGGUAUGUGUGUGUGUGUGUGUGUUUGAGAUCUUUUUGUAUAAGUUUAUGGUUGCUUUGGCAUUGACUUUUGUUGUCAAUAAUUUAAUUGUUUGUGUACAUGGGAAGCAUGUUGUUUGAGAUCACAGUGUGUGUUUGUUGAGUUUGAGCUGACAUAUUUGAGGUUUGGGGGUUUAUUACAAAGAUGGUUUUGAUUA